rnacentral:rRNA from 1 species
AACGAACGCUGGCGGCAUGCCUAACACAUGCAAGUCGAACGAGACCUUCGGGUCUAGUGGCGCACGGGUGCGUAACGCGUGGGAAUCUGCCCUUGGGUUCGGAAUAACAGUUAGAAAUGACUGCUAAUACCGGAUAAUGUCUUCGGACCAAAGAUUUAUCGCCCAGGGAUGAGCCCGCGUAGGAUUAGCUAGUUGGUGAGGUAAAGGCUCACCAAGGGCGACGAUCCUUAGCUGGUCUGAGAGGAUGAUCAGCCACACUGGGACUGAGACACGGCCCAGACUCCUACGGGAGGCAGCAGUGGGGAAUAUUGGACAAUGGGCGAAAGCCUGAUCCAGCAAUGCCGCGUGAGUGAUGAAGG